GUGCUCGCUUCAGCAGUACACAUACUAAAAUUGGAACAAUAAGAUGUCCCCUACACAAGGAUGACAUGCAAAUUUGCAAAGCUUUCCAUAUUUUU
rnacentral:snRNA from 1 species